CUGCUUCAAUGUUUUUUAAAUUGCUGUGGUAUUUUGACUAUACGAAGGUAUCGAAGAAGGCUUUAAUUGGGUGGUAAGAGAAUGGUUUAACAAAAAUUGACUUUCUUUUUAUUUAAAAUAGAAUUUAGUGUAAAAAUGAAAAAAUUUUUAUGAAUUUUUGGGACAAGAAGACCCUAUGAAUUUUUUUUAGAAAAAUAUUUCUUAUUUUUGAGAUAUAAAAUUAAAUAUUUUUUUAAGUUGGUUGGGGUGAUUUUUAAAGAAUUAUUAUCUUUAUAAAUUUUGUUAAUUGGUACCAAAAAUUUUGGUUGUUAGAAUAAAAUACUCUAGGGAUAACAGCGUCAUUAUUUUGGAUAGUUCAUAUAGAUAAAAUAGUUUGCGACCUCGAUGUUGGAUUAAGAUGCUUUUAUGGUGUAGCUGUCAUCAAAAGAAGUUGCUCA
rnacentral:rRNA from 1 species